rnacentral:rRNA from 1 species
AGAGUUUGAUCAUGGCUCAGGAUGAACGCUGGCGGCGUGCUUAACACAUGCAAGUCGAACGGAGCCAAGGAGUGCUUGCAUUCCUGAAGCUUAGUGGCGGACGGGUGAGUAACGCGUGGGGAAUCUGCCCCGUACCGGGGGAUAACACUUAGAAAUAGGUGCUAAUACCGCAUAAGCGCACGGUAUCGCAUGAUACAGUGUGAAAAACUCCGGUGGUACGGGAUGACCCCGCGUCUGAUUAGCCAGUUGGCAGGGUAACGGCCUACCAAAGCAACGAUCAGUAGCCGGCCUGAGAGGGUGAACGGCCACAUUGGGACUGAGACACGGCCCAAACUCCUACGGGAGGCAGCAGUGGGGAAUAUUGCACAAUGGGGGAAACCCUGAUGCAAGCGACGCCGCGUGAGUGAAGAAGUAUCUCGGUAUGUAAAGCUCUAUCAGCAGGGAAGCAAAUGACGGUACCUGACUAAGAAGCCCCGGCUAACUACGUGCCAGCCGCCGC